UGAUGCUAACAUUUCAUGAAUUAAUCAAAUUACUUCCUAAUUCACUAUCACGAUUUUUAUGAGGGUUUAAUCUUUAAGAGAGACGAAUUAAGGAACAAGUGCUUGAUAUUUUACAAAGGGUGAAGAGAUUUACUUUUAUGAAUAUUAAUCUAACAACUAAUAAUUAAUUUUUACCGAUCAAAAAAAAAAAAAAUUGAUACUAACAUUUGAUAGUUUUGUUGAUAAAUCUCGUGUCCCUAACAUUUUUCAUAUUAGAAAAUCCCACAUUCUCCUAAAACCUGGUCUCUUCUCUCACUUUCACUCAUUUUUGUUACAUAUACGCAUAUGAUAUAUGAUGGGGUUGCACUUGGUGGUUCUGGCAAAGCUCAACCUCACAGCCACCGCGGGCCACGGCGCGAGUCCCCUCGUGGUCAUCUUGGUGUGUCCUUUCCUCCUCAAGCUGUCUUUCAGCUCCAGACCCUUCCAACGAGCUUACAACGACAUCAUAAGAGCUUCGAGGCUCUUCUUCUUCCAGUUAGGUCAGAUUGCUUUCAACAACAUUGAACCAGCUGGUCCUAGACAACGGUGGCACCGAGCCCUCCGGUUAGUCUACCAGAGGCUGACUCAUGCUACGAGGUCACUGGCUUCAGAAUCCUAUGAGGAAAGCUUGCGUGCUCUUUCUAUGCUAGCACUUUGAGUUUGUGAAUAGUCAAACACAAGUGAAUAUAUACCUAUAGCUAUUUCUUACAAGAGACUAUUCCAAUCAAACAAACAUGUCAGUAUAUAGGAUUUUGUCAAUCGAGUCCGGAUCCUCUGGCGCUUUCUCCAGCGGCGCCCAAAACGACGUCGUUUUGUGGCAAAUUUUCAAAAAAAAAAACAAAAAACACACACACAGAACCAAAGAAGAGUAAAGAGGGGAAGAAGAUUUGAGUACAGAGGAAGAGAAAGAGGAGAAGAAGAAAGAGUGGCAUCCCACAGGCGACAACCUCUGGCCUCCCUUCACCCACGGCGCCACCAGCUACCCGCCAUCGCCGCCGAAACCCACCAUCGCCACCUCCAUAGCCGCGAGGCCCCUUCUCUCUCUCUCUCCCUCUCUCUCUCGAUCUCGAUGGCCGGCAACCAUCUCGAUCUUUUCUCCUCUUUUCUUUGCCGCCGGUGUAUCGGAGGGAGUUCAUCGGUCAUCCUCAUUGCCGUUCGUCGAUUUUCCCCCCGGUUUCAGCCUAGAUCUGAAAUGCAGAAAGAUGGAUUUAUGAAGAAAAGCAAAGUUUCAAAAUUUCUAUGAAAGAUUUGACAUCCAAAAUCAAAGAGGAGGAGAGGAAAUUUUUUUGACUGUUGUUCUUUGCUUUUGUUUGUAUUAAUCUAAUUUUUUGUCAAUUUUGAUUUAUCAUUUGGGAUGUUCAAAGUGUUAAUGUAUAUGUGUAUAUAUAUAUAUAUAUAUCAGAUUAAAAAAUCUCAAACUUUUGUUUGAAUGGUUGUUAA